AUUGAACGCUGGCGGCAGGCCUAACACAUGCAAGUCGAGCGCGAAAGCUCUUCGGAAUGAGUAAAGCGGCGGACGGGUGAGUAAUACAUGGGAAUCUGCCUGGUAGUGGGGAACAACGUUUCGAAAGGAACGCUAAUACCGCAUACGCCCUACGGGGGAAAGGGGGGGAGUCUUCGGACCUCUCGCUAUCAGAUGAGCCC
rnacentral:rRNA from 1 species